GGGGAAGAUCGCCUCGCCUCACCGUGAUUCUUAUUUCCGGGGAAAGGCCUCAUAAAAGUCAGCCUGGCUGCUCAGGAGUGGGACUGUCACUCUCCUCGCCACGUCUCCGAGGCGGAGCAGAGCUCGCCGGAGCGAGAGACCUCUGAAAACAAAUAAAGCCAAUGAGAGAGCACACCAGACUUUGCUACACCAGAGUCAGAAAAAAAGAAAAGGAGCUGGAAGCCGUCCAUCCCGAAGCCGACCCACGCAGAGGGAGUGUGCAGAAGAGACAAGUUCUUGGAAAGGGAAACCAGGCAGUUUGGAAAUGGCAGAGCCCCUGGGCACUGCUCAGAUGUCUCAUCUGCCUGCAUCAAGCUGCAUCUGCUCUUUACAAGCUGCAGGUUUCACUGAUGCGGAGACGGAUGUUGUGAAAGGCAGUUGUGGCUGGGAUUUGCUGGGGCUUGCAGGUGGUAGUAAAAUUUUGGAGAGCUGACAGCAAGUGAUGUUGUAGUUCAAAAUCUUAGAGAAAUAACAUAAUAAUGGGGAUAUAAAACACUUAAGAUCUGGUGGAAAAGUUCCUGUUUGUAUCUUGGGGACAGAAAUAAAAUGG